rnacentral:rRNA from 1 species
GACGACGCUGGCGGCGUGCCUAACACAUGCAAGUCGAACGGAGAUAUGAUUUCGGUUGUAUCUUAGUGGCGAACGGGUGAGUAACGCGUGAGCAACCUGACUCUUAGAGGGGGAUAACACCCGGAAACGAGUGCUAAUACCGCAUAAGACCACGACAUGGCAUCAUGACGAGGUCAAAGGAGCAAUCCGCUGAGAGAGGGGCUCGCGUCCCAUUAGAUAGAUGGCGGGGUAAUGGCCCACCAUGUCAGCGAUGGGUAGCCGAGCUGAGAGGCUGAUCGGCCACACUGGAACUGAGACACGGUCCAGACUCCUACGGGAGGCAGCAGGUGGGGAAUAUUGGGCAAUGGGGCGCAAGCCUGACCCAGCAACGCCGCGUGAGGGAAGAAGGCUUUCGGGUUGUAAACCUCUGUCCUUGGUGACGAAAAAAAUGACGGUAGCCAAGGAGGAAGCCCCGGCUAACUACGUG